GCUGGGUGCAGUGCUAUGCACUUGUAAUCCCAGCAGCUCAGGAGGCUGAGGUAGGAGGAUCGCGAGUUCAAAGCCAGCCUCAGCAACUUUGCGAGGCACUUAGAAACUCAGUAAGACCCUAUCUCUA
rnacentral:sRNA from 1 species